ensembl:lncRNA TTN-AS1 TTN antisense RNA 1
AAAUGGGAACUGCGCAACCAUCUUUGGAGAUGUGAGAGGCUCUGAAAUGCCAAAUCGGUUUUCAGCACGGACCCGGAAGAUGUACUCCUGGCCUGGGAUCAGCUUUCCAACCCUGCAGGAAGUUUUUGUGACUGAAGCUAGAGCCGUGACCCAGUCACCUCGGCUUACAUCACACUUCUCCACUAUAUAAUUGGUGAUGUUACUGCCUCCGUCCUCCAGAGGGAUGUGCCAUGACAGGGAGCAAGCAUCAGCGUCUAUAUCAGAAAUGUCAAAUGGAGGCUGAGGGGGGCCGGGGGCAUCUACAUGAACCAAGAGGAAAGAAAUGUGGCUGCCAUGAGAUAGUCAUGUGUUCAGGAGUAACAUCCAGAAUAUUAAUAGGACCUGUUGGUGGCCCAGGAACAUCAAGAACAGUAAGAUGUACGGCUACUGUUUUGCUACCGGCUGCAUUGGAAACUGUGAUUUGAUAUUCCCCAGUGUCUCUCCUUAAGCAGUUCUUAAUGAGAAUAGACGCCUUGAUGGCUCCUCUGGCAGUUCUUGAUGACCAUGGAUGAGCUAAUGGCUGUGGUCUCAAUGGUGGCUUCUUGAGAUUAUUUACAGCUGUGAUGGUAUAUAAGCCAGUGUCACUCCUGCGAGACUGCGGAAUAACUAAAGUGCAAGUAUCAUCUACCACCAGUUUGUUGACAUGGGUGUCAUAGAGAACAGGUUCUUUG